GCUGGGUGUGGUGGCGGGCACCUGUAAUCCGAGCUACUUGGGAGGCUGAGGCAGAAGAAUUGCUUGAACCCGGGAAGUGGAGGUUGCAGUGAACUGAGAUUGCACCACUGCAUUUCAGCCUGAGUGACAGAGCAAGACUCUGUCUCAA
rfam:Pan troglodytes isolate Yerkes chimp pedigree #C0471 (Clint) chromosome 11, whole genome shotgun sequence.